AACGAACGCUGGCGGCAUGCCUAACACAUGCAAGUCGAACGAGACUUUCGGGUCUAGUGGCGCACGGGUGCGUAACGCGUGGGAAUCUGCCCUUCGGUUCGGAAUAACUCAGGGAAACUUGAGCUAAUACCGGAUGAUGUCUUCGGACCAAAGAUUUAUCGCCGAAGGAUGAGCCCGCGUCGGAUUAGCUAGUUGGUGAGGUAAAGGCUCACCAAGGCGACGAUCCGUAGCUGGUCUGAGAGGAUGAUCAGCCACACUGGGACUGAGACACGGCCCAGACUCCUACGGGAGGCAGCAGUGGGGAAUAUUGGACAACGGGCGAAAGCCUGAUCCAGCAAUGCCGCGUGAGUGAUGAAGGCCUUAGGGUUGUAAAGCUCUUUUACCCGGGAUGAUAAUGACAGUACCGGGAGAAUAAGCCCCGGCUAACUCCGUGCCAGCAGCCGCGGUAAUACGGAGGGGGCUAGCGUUGUUCGGAAUUACUGGGCGUAAAGCGCACGUAGGCGGCUUUGUAAGUUAGAGGUGAAAGCCCGGGGCUCAACUCCGGAACUGCCUUUAAGACUGCAUCGCUAGAACGUCGGAGAGGUAAGUGGAAUUCCGAGUGUAGAGGUGAAAUUCGUAGAUAUUCGGAAGAACACCAGUGGCGAAGGCGACUUACUGGACGACUGUUGACGCUGAGGUGCGAAAGCGUGGG
rnacentral:rRNA from 1 species